rnacentral:lncRNA from 1 species
GGGAAUUGGCAUGAUUGAGUGACGCACUCUCCAUGUUUCUUCAUCCCUUCCAGAGAGCCGAGUUCUGUCACCACAGACAUUGGCAGUGGCACUUGCAUGCCCCUGGCAAGCAGUCUAUCCUGAGGUGGAGGAAGUUGCCCUUGAGUUCUGGCUGGUAACCAGCACAGUAUACCCUUUAAGCGUUCCAGAAGGAUUUUGAGAUCCUUUCCUAAAUCAAAGGUGGAAUAUUUGGGGAUUUGGAAAAUUGAGAAGCCAGUCUCUCAGAAGAACCAGUUGUGUUACUUUGCUGUGAGAUGCCUGCCCUAAGAGAGGAGCAGAAGGUCGGAACGGGUCCUCUAAUGUGAUAAUUAGGUGGACUGGAAGCAGCUGGCUCACUUUGCAGGAUGUUGGAACCCCCAGACUGCUGUAGAUAUGGAAAGAAGACACUGAGUGGUGGG